rnacentral:tRNA from 1 species
GGGUUGGCUCAGUGGUUAGAGCGUAGGUCUCGUAAGCGAAAGGUUGCGGGAUCGAAUCCCGCUAGAGGCUG